AGAACAGAGAUGGGGCCAUCUUGCAUUCUGAUUUUAACAGUUCAUUCAACAAACACCUUCUUUAUGACAGUAACACUUGAACUGAAUUAUUAGAACCACUGCACAGACUUUCUGGACUGUCAAAGCUGUUUUCAUCUAAAGAUGGGCCAUAAAACAUGAAGGGACCAGUAAGCCAGGACAAUGGAAACAUUCCAGAGUUGAAAAUCCUCUCUGGAAUAAACUUACCUACAUGUGGCCAGUCCUUCCCAGUGGUCAACUUAAUGAGGAGUUUGAUUGGCCAAUAGAAGGACUGCUUCUUCCAAACAGUCCUCCCAUGAAGAAACCCAUCCAUAAGGCACCGGAGCAGUAUGUGCCUGUGAGACUCAGAGUUUUGCGGAAUGGAGACAAGAACAAAGCCAGAGCCCAUAUUAUAAUCAGUCCAGACAUCUCACCUGGGCGGAAAAUGCAGUAAGAACAGCUUGUUAAUAUUUCUCAUCAAGCAUACUUUCUCAUUUCUACAGAUUUUAGUCUUCUUGAUUACAGGAGAUCCCCCCCGCCCCGGGAAAGUUCUGUGUUUGUUCUAUUAAAAGGCUUCUGUAUUGAUAUCUGAAAGUGUCAGCUAUCAAUUGGCACUUGUCGACUACCUCUGCUGCUGCUGCUGCUGAGUCGCUUCAGUCGUGUCCGACUCUGUGAGACCCCAGAGACGGCAGCCCACCAGGCUCCCCCAUCCCUGGGAUUCUCCAGGCAAGAACACU
rnacentral:lncRNA from 1 species